AGUAGACGCUGAAGAGAGGAGCUUGCUCUUCUUGGAUGAGUUGCGAACGGGUGAGUAACGCGUAGGUAACCUGCCUUGUAGCGGGGGAUAACUAUUGGAAACGAUAGCUAAUACCGCAUAACAAUGGAUGACACAUGUCAUUUAUUUGAAAGGGGCAAUUGCUCCACUACAAGAUGGACCUGCGUUGUAUUAGCUAGUAGGUGAGGUAACGGCUCACCUAGGCGACGAUACAUAGCCGACCUGAGAGGGUGAUCGGCCACACUGGGACUGAGACACGGCCCAGACUCCUACGGGAGGCAGCAGUAGGGAAUCUUCGGCAAUGGGGGCAACCCUGACCGAGCAACGCCGCGUGAGUGAAGAAGGUUUUCGGAUCGUAAAGCUCUGUUGUAAGUCAAGAACGAGUGUGAGAGUGGAAAAUUCACACUGUGACGGUAGCUUACCAGAAAGGGACGGCUAACUACGUGCCAGCAGCCGCGGUAAUACGUAGGUCCCGAGCGUUGUCCGGAUUUAUUGGGCGUAAAGCGAGCGCAGGCGGUUUGAUAAGUCUGAAGUUAAAGGCUGUGGCUCAACCAUAGUUCGCUUUGGAAACUGUCAAACUUGAGUGCAGAAGGGGAGAGUGGAAUUCCAUGUGUAGCGGUGAAAUGCGUAGAUAUAUGGAGGAACACCGGUGGCGAAAGCGGCUCUCUGGUCUGUAACUGACGCUGAGGCUCGAAAGCGUGGGGAGCGAACAGGAUUAGAUACCCUGGUA
rnacentral:rRNA from 1 species